rnacentral:miRNA from 1 species
CUGAAGUGUUUGGGGGAACCC